rnacentral:rRNA from 1 species
GACGAACGCUGGCGGCGUGCUUAACACAUGCAAGUCGAACGGUAAGGCCCUUCGGGGUACACGAGUGGCGAACGGGUGAGUAACACGUGGGUGAUCUGCCCUGCACUUCGGGAUAAGCCUGGGAACCUGGGUCUAAUACCGGAUAGGACCACUGCCUGCAUGGGUGGUAGUGGAAAGCUUUUGCGGUGUGGGAUGGGCCCGCGGCCUAUCAGCUUGUUGGUGGGGUGAUGGCCUACCAAGGCGACGACGGGUAGCCGGCCUGAGAGGGUGACCGGCCACUCUGGGACUGAGAUACGGCCCAGACUCCUACGGGAGGCAGCAGUGGGGAAUAUUGCACAAUGGGCGCAAGCCUGAUGCAGCGACGCCGCGUGAGGGAUGACGGCCUUCGGGUUGUAAACUUCUUUUAUAUUUGAAGAUUAUGACGGUAAAAUAUGAAUAAGCAUCGGCUAACUACGUGCCAGCCGCCGCCGUAA